CUUACCGGCUGAUCCACAGGUUUGGCAGCUCCCUGAUGGACCGCAGCUGUGUGGUGGUGGUGGUGGAGGAGGAGGGGGGGGCACUGUCCGCCGACAACCGGUGGCUUCAGGUGGACAGCCUGAAACAAAUGUACCGAUGACCGAGCAGGAUCGGGGUGUAGAGGUUUUUGGAUGUCCGUCCGUCUGAGGUGGUGGUAGGUAACCCUGUGGAGUUGUUCCUCUCUCCUUGCUGCACCGGGCUCGACUGGUGACGCAAGAUAUCCACCAGUGAUCUGACACAGCAGAGGGUGGACGGAGAGAUGAGAGCAAGAGGAAAAGGAGUGGAUAAAGAGAAAGACGAAAGGUUAGACAGAGACAGAAAGAGAGAGUUACAGUCAGGAAUCCCAAGAGAACGGUCCUGUGGUCUCACCUGGGCAUGUUGAUGUCCCUGUUGCGGGGUCGGCGUGCCACCUUGCUGAAGGCAAUCCUGACGCCCACGGCCACCACCAGCGUGAAGGAGAUAACCCCUCCAAUCACAUAGGCCGUACUGUUGGAUGAAGAAUGAAUGAAUGAAUAUC